rnacentral:rRNA from 1 species
UCUUGGACAAUGGGGGCAACCCUGAUCCAGGCAUGCCGCGUGUGGGAUGAAGGCCUUCGGGUUGUAAACCACUUUUGGCGGGGGCGAAAUAUCGAGUGCUAAUACCAUUCGGUGAUGACGGUACCCGCAGAAUAAGCACCGGCUAACUACGUGCCAGCAGCCGCGGUAAUACGUAGGGUGCAAGCGUUAAUCGGAAUUACUGGGCGUAAAGCGUGCGCAGGCGGUUAGGUAAGACAGGUGUGAAAUUCCCGGGCUCAACCUGGGAACUGCAUUUGUGACUGCCUGACUAGAGUGCGGCAGAGGGGAGUGGAAUUCCGCGUGUAGCAGUGAAAUGCGUAGAUAUGCGGAGGAACACCGAUGGCGAAGGCAACUCCCUGGGCCUGCACUGACGCUCAUGCACGAAAGCGUGGGGAGCAAACAGGAUUAGAUACCCUGGUAGUCCACGCCCUAAACGAUGUCGACUAGUUGUUGGACGGGUUACUGUUCAGUAACGUAGCUAACGCGUGAAGUCGACCGCCUGGGGAGUACGGCCGCAAGGUUAAAACUCAAAGGAAUUGACGGG